UUGCAGGUUGAAAAAAUGAAGGAGAUUGCAAAAUAGAAGGCUAAAGAGAAGAGGAAGCAAUUGGAAGCAGAGGUACCUUUCUGUCGAGUAUUAAUGGUAGUCCCUCAAUAGAUUGCCUGGGAUUAUCAAAACUGUCUUUUUUCAUUAGCAAGGAGGAAUAUCUAAUGGUGAAACUAUUUAGAUGAAAAUAGGCUUCAAGCCGACCUCUACAAUUGGAAAGAAACAACAUACUGUUACAAGAAGUAAAGAGGAAACAGAUCCUAUUGCCCGAGGGAGGCAUGAUCCCUGUGUUGUCUUACGAGUUUUCUGAAGAAACUUAUUCAUCGGAAAAUGUGGAUGAGGUUAGAGACAUGUGGGUCGAGUAUUUGCUCAAGCAAAAAGCGGAUCAAGAAAACAAAGUUGAUGGUAUGGAAAUAACUCCAUGAGUUUCGGUUCCAAUUGUUGGUAAAUUGGUGUGGAUGAUUAUAUUUUGGAAUUGAUUUUUGUUUUACGUUUUUGGAAAUUGCUAUCUAAAGUUUGACGCUUAUGUAAAUCACAGUUUAUGUAAAGCUUGCGUUUUGAGCAUUACUUGUGGGAAAUAUUUUUUUUGGUAAUAUAUGGAUAAUGGAGUUGUUCUCGAAUUAUUACAAAUUAUUUAUUAUAGCAGGUGUGGUUUUGUGCGUUUGAUGCCGGCUGGUCGGUAUUUAUAGAGGUGUAAACGCAGGUGUUAUGUGUAUAUUAAUGCAGUGCCUGCUGGCCGGUAUUUUAGAGUUGUAAACGCAGGUUGAAUAUGCAUAUUAAUUAGUUCUGAAUAUAUCGCUGAUCGACCAGCUGUAUUAUUCUGCUAUUA